AGAGUCCGGAAAACGAAUACACGUCAUGCAUGCUUCCGGGGGACGUGAAAAUCACUUCGGUACAGUCUAGCUUUGCUGUUAAAAAAAUUUACGAAAGUUGACGGAACGUCGAUUUCUUUCAAUCACGCGUUACCAGCUGGGAACAAGAAGAAACAACAGAGGAAGAAAUGAACAAAUUUGAGGAGUUGCUGUAGUUGCCGGGCGACGGGGCUUUAAAAAUGGCCGCUUGGUUUGUUUACAUUUUGCGAGCUGCAACCUGUGAUGGCUGAGCUUGAACGAGAGGGACGUGCUAGCUGAAAUUCGGCUCUCGUGGUUAAGGUUAGAUCAAAUCAAAGUGGCCACGGAAUGUGUUUUCUUAGCGUACGUGUCUUGAACCGCCGGAAAGGCAGCCUUUUCCCAGGAGACCGAAGAAACACCUGCCCGGCGGAGUCGUUGGCCUAGCCUGUUGGUGGCAUGUGCGUCUCGGCGAGCGAAAUAUGAGCAACUCGGACGAAGAUGCUUCCAAAUCGGCGUCUAGUCGCGAAAUUAGACACCUGACGCAUUCGGUCGAAGACAGUAUCGUCAGCAAAGUCAACGAGCUCUCAUCCGCGCUCCUCGACACGAGCACCAACAUUCACUGCUUGAACAGCAAAAUUCAAGCAUACCGCCAGGAACAAAAUGCUGCCGUUGAAGUGCUCAAAGAAAACGUUGACGUUUGCCUUAGGCAUAUUAGCAGUCGGGAGGCAACCACGCCACUGCAGUUGACGAGUGCACGGGACUCCCCUACAAACCCAUGGCGCAUGGUACGAGACAAAGAAACUACCAUCCUUGAACUCGAGAGAAAGAAUGACCACUUAAGGGCAAAGCUUGAGAGUGCGCAGGAAAAGCUGAAGGAGAAGUCAGACGAGCUGUUGACUUCGUCGAGGCUGCUCUCGGAGAAGUCACAGGAAGCGUUGCUGCUCCAAGACAGCCUCGUCAUAGCGGAAAGAAGACUAGCUGAAAGCCAACGAGAAGUUGAGAGGGCAGCGCUGCGUCUCCGGCACGUUGAAGAGGAUUCCGAGAAGCAGACGACACGAAUGAAAAACGAGAUUGCUCGCUUGGAACGUGAACUCCUCAACGAGAGAGAAAGGCAUUCAUCGAGUCUGCAGGGUUUGCAGCAGGAGUUGAAGCAGGUGCACCUUGAGUCAAGUUCGUGGCAAGAACGUUACAUGCGUGAAAAGCAGAAGACGUCUCAGUUGUCUGAAGAGAUAGCCCAGUCGAGAAUACAGCGUCAAAGGUUUCAAAAACCAGAUGGUGCCAGGAGUGAAGACGAUACUGACAAUCUGGAGAAGGGAAACAACCUAGUGCAGAGUCCGGAGUUGGAGGAUAUGAAGACGAAGUAUGAUGAUCUCAAGAAGGAAUUGACCCAGCUAAAGCGAAAAGUUGCUCAGAAUGGAAGUGCUCAAGAUUUCUCAGGGAUAGCCAGUCCUGAGGAGUUUAACAGGUUGAUCUUGGAGAAGCGGGACAUUGAAGAGGUGUGCCUGAGUUUCGAUCGCAAGUUUCAAAAGCAGACUCAAGUGUUGAAGAGACUGGAUCAAAUGCUGAAGGAGUCGGAAGGGAAAGUGGAAAAGCUGACUCAAGUGAAACUUGAAAAGCAGAAGAGCUACCAGGAUUUUGUGCAGUAUGUUGGAGAAAAGCUCGAUUUCGUUGUUGGAUUGCUUUCUAUACGCUCUGCGGACACCUUUCAAGCUUUGUUUGCCUCUGAACUUGCUGGGAAGCGGCCACUGUCUUUCCAGGUGGCAGAAAUUAAGAGCAAGUUUCACUGGGUAUUGCAAGAAAUACGGUCCCUGUGUCUCGGUGAGGCUGAGUUGAAAGCGCAAUCCAUUUCCUAUCCAUCACAGGCUCACCAUUGCAGCUCCAGCGGAUCUGAUCCGAAGGUGAAGGCAAAAAAGUUCUACCGGUCUUGAUACUGCUGCCUUUUGUUCUUUGCGUGCAAGCAUCCUUAAGUUACGGAUCGCAAAGCUGUUCAUGUCUGCACCUCACUAGAACGUUGUCUUGACUUCGUAUGGACAGGUAUGACUAUUUGUUAACGUAAACAUGUUCUGACAGCUCAUCAUGGUGAGCACAAACCUACAAAAUCAAAUUUUAUGUAAAUUUCUUGGCUCUAAAAGUUAAAUGUUUGCUCAUAUGCUGCAAGAAGUCUUUCCUUCAUGCUUUGUUCCUUUGGACAUGGUUGUUGCCAUAUCGAGCAAACGACGUACAUUUUUGUCGUGGGUAACUGUAAACACAAUAUAUUGAAUGUCAUUAUCUACCAAUGGCAUUAAGGUUUCUUGUGUAAUGGGAAUAUUUCCUGUGUUCCGUGGGACUACAGGUACUGAUUGCAAAGUGAUACUGUUGCUGUACCUGUGGCUUCUGUAUUACCUUGUUUUAUACGUAAGUUUUUGAUGGCAAGUCUUUCCACCUCCCCUGUGACUGUGAAUUAAAGGGACACUAAAGGCAAAUAACAAUUUACGUCAGAGUGAAAGCUCAAUGUAUGACAACUUCUAAAACGGCAAUAUUGUCAACAGCAGUGCCCUACUUACCGAGAAAUUAAUCUAAAUGUAUCACAUGAUGAGAGCCACGAGGGGGACAUUUUCGAAGUGAUCCCGAUGACGUAUGAGAGUCUGCCUACAAUAAAUCACUAGUAAUCAAACU
rnacentral:misc_RNA from 1 species